GUGCCUAAUACAUGCAAGUCGAGCGCAGGAAGCAACAUGAACCCUUCGGGGGGAUUGUUGUGGAAUGAGCGGCGGACGGGUGAAUAACACGUGGGUAACCUACCCACAAGAUCGGGAUAACUCCGGGAAACCGGGGCUAAUACCGAAUAAUCCUUUGAACCGCAUGGUUCAGAGGUAAAAGACGGUUUCGGCUGUCACUUGUGGAUGGACCCGCGGCGCAUUAGCUAGUUGGUGAGGUAACGGCUCACCAAGGCGACGAUGCGUAGCCGACCUGAGAGGGUGAUCGGCCACACUGGGACUGAGACACGGCCCAGACUCCUACGGGAGGCAGCAGUAGGGAAUCUUCCGCAAUGGACGAAAGUCUGACGGAGCAACGCCGCGUGAGUGAUGAAGGUUUUCGGAUCGUAAAGCUCUGUUGUUAGGGAAGAACAAGUACCAGAGUAACUGCUGGUACCUUGACGGUACCUAACCAGAAAGCCCCGGCUAACUACGUGCCAGCAGCCGCGGUAAUACGUAGGGGGCAAGCGUUGUCCGGAAUUAUUGGGCGUAAAGCGCGCGCAGGCGGUUCCUUAAGUCUGAUGUGAAAGGCCACGGCUCAACCGUGGGAGGCCAUUGGAAACUGGGGAACUUGAGUGCAGAAGAGGAGAGUGCAUUUCCAAGUGUAGCGGUGAAAUGCGUAGA
rnacentral:rRNA from 1 species